rnacentral:rRNA from 1 species
UACGAAGGGGGCUAGCGUUGUUCGGAAUCACUGGGCGUAAAGCGCGCGUAGGCGGAUUGUUAAGUCGGGGGUGAAAUCCUGAGGCUCAACCUCAGAACUGCCUUCGAUACUGGCGAUCUUGAGUCCGGGAGAGGUGAGUGGAAUUCCUAGUGUAGAGGUGAAAUUCGUAGAUAUUAGGAAGAACACCAGUGGCGAAGGCGGCUCACUGGCCCGGUACUGACGCUGAGGCGCGAAAGCGUGGGGAGCAAACAGG